rnacentral:piRNA from 1 species
UNGCAUCCAUGCCUAUCCCCUGGGCCUC